GCUGAGGUGCCGAUGUGCUUCAACACCAGGCUGAUGAACUUGUCCUUCUUCUUCAAAAACGUAAUCACCUGAAAUCACACACACCUGAGAGGCAGGCAGGGCCGACCCUGACAACCGUGAGACACCUCCUCCAAAAACUCUCAUGGGAAAGUUGAACUAGUAAUAACCCAUGAGCGGUUGAAGGGGAAGACUGAGGUUUUAGAAAAGAAAAAGAGGCAUCCUGUGGCUGGCUGAUGACCAGUGCCAACAAGGUGUAGACAGCUAAGCGUGAGGCCGCGGGGGGGCACAGCACCCAUCACAGACGGGAUGACUAAACUUCUAGAAAGACGAAGGACAAAACAGAAGGUACAAAUAACAAUAUUAAGAAUGAAACAAGGGACAUCGCCAAAGAUCCUACAGAAAUAAAAACUAUUAUGAGAGGUUUGUAGUUUUUUUUUUUUUUUUUUUGAGACANNNNNNNNNNNNNNNNNNNAGGCUGGAGUGCAGUGGUGUGAUCAUAACUCACUGCAGCCUCCACCUUCUGAGCUCAAGUGAUUCUCCCACCUCAGCCUCCCAAAAUGCUGUAAUAAUAAGCAGGAGCCACCACACCUGCUUUAUUAUGAGAAAUUAAUAGAAACAAUUUUAUGCCAGUUUUUGUAAAUUUAGAAAAGAAAUUUCCUUGAAAAAAAAAUACUUAUCUGGCCAGGUGCGGUGGCUCACACCUGUAAUCCCAGCACUUUGGGAGGUCGAGGCAGGUGGAUCACCUGAGGUCAGACCAGACUGAGGUCGAGACCAGCCUCAACAUGGAGAAAACCCCGUCUCUACUAAAAAUACAAAAUUAGCCAAGCGUGGUGGUGCAUGCCUGUAAUCCCAGCUACUCAGCAGGCUGAGGCAGGAGAAUUGCUUGAACCUGGGAGGCGGAGAUU
rnacentral:lncRNA from 1 species